ensembl:lncRNA LNCATV lncRNA negative regulator of antiviral signaling
GCUGAGCUGAGCAGGAAAGAGAGACGUUUGUUUAUGGAUUUAUCUCAUCUAUAAGACACUCUUAUUAGAUGAACUCUAUAUCAGUUCUAUGUAGAACUCUGUACCAGUUCUAUAAGGCACUCUUUAAUCUGAAUCUUUUUAUUUGCUCAAGAGAAAAAUAAGUCUGACUUGCAUCCCAUUGAAGAUUUAGAUUGCACUGUUUACAUCUUUCACCUGCGCCGCGGUAGCGUCCUCUACCGAUGCUAUCCUACGUUGAUUUUUCCAGCAACCUGGGAAGCAACCUCAUAGGUGGUUUGGGAUGUCUUUUGGCUGUGCUUAAAAAUUUCCAACAGAUUUGCUACACAUCUUAGGAUAAAUAUGUUUCCUGUGAAUUGUGAUGAUUUCUUACAGUACAUUUGCAAGCAUGUGUAUGCAUCUGCAGGAAACAUAGCCUGGCUCUGUGAAGGAAUACUGCUGUGACCGCAAAACUGUUUCUGUAGAAUUUUCUCCGGUGUGGUCAUCCUGCCUUCAGGAGGAAAAUAGAGCAAAAAGGUAGAACUUACUUCCACACCCAAGUUUCUCCUGAAAGCACUGUGCCUGUUUUGUUUGCUACACAUCUUGGCUUCAGGAAAAAGAGGACCUUAGAACUGAAGGAGCAAGAUUCCAACAUCACACUGUUUUUGUUAGCUGUGUGUGUGUGUUUCCUGUGUAUCCAAAAGACAGAGGAGAUGAAAAAGCAAAAGAAAAGAAACGAGGAAUCAGAUUGGAAAGAAGGUUUCUCCAGGACGUCACCUGUAUGAGGUACACAGUGUGAUGACACACUCUGUGCUUUUCCUACUUGUGUCCACGUGAGUGUCUGGAGCUGCCCUUCAAGGAGAGCAAUAGAUGAAUGAUUCUGCCUUCCCGCUGAGAGGGAUGUGGGUCCUGCGGAUGGUCGGGGUGAAGCUUCCUCUCCUUUCUGCUGACAGCACUUCCUCAUUAAAUGCAGAGAUCUGCAAAAAGGGAAAAUAAAAACACAAGAAGAAAAA